GCAGGGUACACCCUGGACAGGACGCCAGUCUGUCGCAAGGCCACAUAUAUACAAACAAACACAUUCACAUCCACACACACAACUACAGACAGUUUAAAAUUUCCAGUCCUCCUAAAGUGCGUGUCUUUGAAUGUGAGUGGAAACCAGAGAACCCGGAGACAACCCACACAAAACGGGGAGAACAU